rfam:Ictidomys tridecemlineatus contig019971, whole genome shotgun sequence.
AGGGUUGUGGCUCAGUGGUAGAGCCCUUGCCUGGCAUGUGUGAGGGCCUGGAUUCGAUCCUCAGCAACACAU